GGGAUAUCCAGAUUUGUACUACAUGUACUAGGGUGAUCCUUGAUUGUACCCAAUUUCUAGUAGGAUUCAGGAUAAUACUAAACAUAAUAGAACAAUUAACCAGAUUGUAAGAUCGAUACUUUUUCCUGACAGAAGAUAGAAGAGUAAUGCUGAAAUAUUUGCAUUCUAAUUUCUGAAUGACUUAAAUCAAUUAUUGACGAUGCCAUAUUGCGGAGAUUCCUCAAACAACUUUAAGCAUUCAAUAAAGCACUAAUGAAGCAUUU